AACGAACGCUGGCGGCAGGCCUAACACAUGCAAGUCGAACGCUCGUAGCAAUACGGGAGUGGCAGACGGGUGAGUAACACGUGGGAACCUUCCCUAUGGUUCGGAAUAGCUCAGGGAAACUUGGGGUAAUACCGGAUAAGCCCUUCGGGGGAAAGGAUUUAUCGCCAUUGGAUGGGCCCGCGUCGGAUUAGCUAGUUGGUGAGGUAACGGCUCACCAAGGCAACGAUCCGUAGCUGGUCUGAGAGGAUGAUCAGCCACACUGGGACUGAGACACGGCCCAGACUCCUACGGGAGGCAGCAGUGGGGAAUAUUGGACAAUGGGCGCAAGCCUGAUCCAGCCAUGCCGCGUGAGUGACGAAGGUCUUCGGAUUGUAAACUCUUUUGGCGGGACGAUAAUGACGGUACCCGCAGAAUAAGCCCCGGCUAACUUCGUGCCAGCAGCCGCAGUAAU
rnacentral:rRNA from 1 species